rnacentral:rRNA from 1 species
UACGGGGGGGGCAAGCGUUGUCCGGAAUUAUUGGGCGUAAAGGGCUCGUAGGCGGUUUGUCACGUCGGGAGUGAAAACUCAGGGCUCAACCCUGAGCGUGCUUCCGAUACGGGCAGACUAGAGGUAUGCAGGGGAGAACGGAAUUCCUGGUGUAGCGGUGGAAUGCGCAGAUAUCAGGAGGAACACCGGUGGCGAAGGCGGUUCUCUGGGCAUUACCUGACGCUGAGGAGCGAAAGCAUGGGGAGCGAACAGG